UACAGAGGGUGCGAGCGUUAAUCGGAAUUACUGGGCGUAAAGCGCGCGUAGGCGGCUUUGCAAGUCGGGUGUGAAAUCCCCAGGCUUAACCUGGGAACUGCAUUCGAGACUGCAUUGCUAGAGUAUGGGAGAGGGAAGUGGAAUUUCCGGUGUAGCGGUGAAAUGCGCAGAUAUCGGAAGGAACAUCAGUGGCGAAAGCGACUUCCUGGACCAAUACUGACGCUCAUGUGCGAAAGCGUGGGGAGCAAACAGG
rnacentral:rRNA from 1 species